ACGAAAGGUGUAACGAUCUGGGCACUGUCUCAACGAGAGACUCGGUGAAAUUAUAGUACCUGUGAAGAUGCAGGUUACCCGCGACAGGACGGAAAGACCCCGUGGAGCUUUACUGCAGCCUGAUAUUGAAUUUUGGUACAGCUUGUACAGGAUAGGUAGGAGCCUUGGAAGCCGGAGCGCCAGCUUCGGUGGAGGCAUUGGUGGGAUACUACCCUGGCUGUAUUGACAUUCUAACCCGCACCCCUUAUCGGGGUGGGAGACAGUGUCAGGUGGGCAGUUUGACUGGGGCGGUCGCCUCCUAAAAAGUAACGGAGGCGCCCAAAGGUUCCCUCAGAAUGGUUGGAAAUCAUUCGUAGAGUGUAAAGGCACAAGGGAGCUUGACUGCGAGACCUACAAGUCGAGCAGGGACGAAAGUCGGGCUUAGUGAUCCGGUGGUUCCGCAUGGAAGGGCCAUCGCUCAACGGAUAAAAGCUACCCCGGGGAUAACAGGCUUAUCUCCCCCAAGAGUCCACAUCGACGGGGAGGUUUGGCACCUCGAUGUCGGCUCAUCGCAUCCUGGGGCUGUAGUCGGUCCCAAGGGUUGGGCUGUUCGCCCAUUAAAGCGGUACGCGAGCUGGGUUCAGAACGUCGUGAGACAGUUCGGUCCCUAUCCGUCGUGGGCGUAGGAAAUUUGAGAGGAGCUGUCCUUAGUACGAGAGGACCGGGAUGGACGCACCGCUGGUGUACCAGUUGUCUUGCCAAAGGCAUCGCUGGGUAGCUAUGUGCGGAAGGGAUAAGUGCUGAAAGCAUCUAAGCAUGAAGCCCCCCUCAAGAUGAGAUUUCCCAUAGCGUAAGCUAGUAAGAUCCCUGAAAGAUGAUCAGGUUGAUAGGUCAGAGGUGGAAGCGUGGCGACAUGUGGAGCUGACUGAUACUAAU
rnacentral:rRNA from 1 species